ACCUGCAUCGAAAGUGAUUGUGGUUCUGUCAGUGGCCUGGUCAUUGAUACUGCAGGAAAAAUAUCAUGUGAAAGCUUUUCCCGUGUUUGGAGAUUUGCACUGUAUCUACCAAACCCUGUGACUUUCACACA